rnacentral:rRNA from 1 species
UGAUAAGUUAGCCACCUGGGGAGUACGUUCGCAAGAAUGAAACUCAAAGGAAUUGACGGGGGCCCGCACAAGCGGUGGAUUAUGUGGUUUAAUUCGAUGAUACGCGAGGAACCUUACCAAGGCUUAAAUGGGAAUUGACAGGUUUAGAAAUAGACUUUUCUUCGGACAAUUUUCAAGGUGCUGCAUGGUUGUCGUCAGCUCGUGCCGUGAGGUGUUAGGUUAAGUCCUGCAACGAGCGCAACCCCUGUCACUAGUUGCCAUCAUUAAGUUGGGGACUCUAGUGAGACUGCCUACGCAAGUAGAGAGGAAGGUGGGGAUGACGUCAAAUCAUCACGGCCCUUACGCCUUGGGCCACACACGUAAUACAAUGGCCGGUACAGAGGGCAGCUACACAGCGAUGUGAUGCGAAUCUCGAAAGCCGGUCUCAGUUCGGAUUGGAGUCUGCAACUCGACUCUAUGAAGCUGGAAUCGCUAGUAAUCGCGCAUCAGCCAUGGCGCGGUGAAUACGUUCCCGGGCCUUGUACACACCGCCCGUCAAGCCAUGGAAGUCUGGGGUACCUGAAGUCGGUGACCGUAACAGGAGCUGC